UGCUCAUCAUUGGUGCGCGCUGUGUCCCGUGAGCCUGCGCUCCGCCCUCGGGCCCUUCCGGGCCGCUUGCUUUUCAUCUUCCCUGUGGGACUCGCCCAGAGACGCCUUCACGCAGCUCCGCGUCAUCUGUGAUUCUGUAGCUUCGGGGAUCCUCUUGUAAACUGUUCAUUUCACCUUGUGACUAUAAGAAAGAACAUUCGCAGAAAACUUUCUCAGGGGAGGCAGGGUGAGCUUGCAUAGUAGGGUUUAAAGCAGGGUGUCUUGAAGUCAAAAUGGAAAUUGGUACUUGCCGCCCCCGCUUUGUGGGGGCCAUGGAUGGAGGGGCUGCAGCAGCUCAUGGGAUGCUCUCUCUGUCAUCAGGCAGCCUCCCGAUGGGCUGCCUUCCAGGCUCUGUGCUUCUGAAUUCCUCUGCA
rnacentral:lncRNA from 1 species